rnacentral:rRNA from 1 species
UGAUUUACAUUUUGAGUGAGUGGCGAACUGGUGAGUAACACGUGGGAAACCUGCCCAGAAGCGGGGGAGUAACACCUGGAAACAGAUGCUAAUACCGCAUAACAACUUGGACCGCAUGGUCCGAGUUUGAAAGAAUGGCUUCGGCUAUCACUUUUGGAUGGUCCCGCGGCGUAUUAGCUAGAUGGUGGGGUAACGGGCUCACCAUGGCAAUGAUACGUAGCCGACCCUGAGAGGGUAAGUCAGGCCACAUUGGGACUGAGACACGGCCCCAAACUCC